UACGUAGGGUGCAAGCGUUAUCCGGAUUUACUGGGUUUAAAGGGUGCGUAGGUGGGCAGGUAAGUCAGUGGUGAAAUCUCCGAGCUUAACUCGGAAACUGCCAUUGAUACUAUCUGUCUUGAAUUAUCUGGAGGUAAGCGGAAUAUGUCAUGUAGCGGUGAAAUGCUUAGAUAUGGCAUAGAACACCAAUUGCGAAGGCAGCUUACUGGGGAUCGAUUGACACUGAGGCACGAAAGCGUGGGGAUCAAACAGG
rnacentral:rRNA from 1 species